UUUUAUCAAGUUCUUUCAGACUUUUAAAAAAGGCCUAACCAUGGAGAGAGAAGAGCACCUCAGACCUCAGUACCCAAAAGUGGGGAAGAGCCAGGAAAGAAGAGUAUGGUGCCUGGGGAGCACCCUAGCUGCAAGACAGAGCUCAGGCUUUGAGAAUUAGGAGUGUGUGAAGUGCCUGGCAAAGGCAGGAGCACCAGCGUUUGUGCUGCUCUUGGCUAGCUAGGGGAGUCCGAGGGGCAGCGAGGGGUGAACAACCUGACGCAAGAUGGCCAGUAAAGAGAUGUUUGAAGAUACUGUGGAGGUGCAUGUCAUCAAUGAAGAAUUAUAAAAUGUGGAAGAAGAAUACACUGUUUCUGUAUGACCUUGUUAUGACCCAUGCUCUUCAGUGGCUUCCUGAAGUGACUAAACUGGAAGGAAAGGAUUAUGUCCUUCAUUGGCUAGUGCUGGGGACUCGUACAUCUGAUGAGCAGAAUUAUCUGGUGGUUGCUUGAGUACACAUUCCCAACGAUGAUGCACAGUUUGAUGCUUCCCACUGUGACAGUGACAAGGGUGAAUUUGGUGGCUUUGGUUCUGUAACAGGAAAAAUUGAAUGUGAAAUUAAAAUUAAUCAUGAAGAAGAAAUAAACCGUGCUUGUUACAUGCUGCGGAACCCUCACAUCAUUGCUACAAAAACACCAUCUUCUCAUGUCUUGGUUUUUGACUAUACAAAACAUCCUGCUAAACCAGACCCAAGUGGAGAGUGUAAUCCUGAUCUUAGGUUAAGAGGUCACCAAAAGGAAGGCUGUGAUCUUUCCUGGAAUUCUGAUUUGAGUGGACAUCUCCUAAGUGCAUCCAAUGACCAUGCUGUCUGUCUGUGGGAUAUAAAGGGAGGAGGACCAAAGGAAGGCAAAAUUGUGGAUGCUAAAGCAUCUUUACUGGCCACUCAACUGUUGUAGAGGAUGUGGCCUGGUAUCUGCUGCAUGAGUCAUUGUUUGGAUCUGUCACUGAUGAUCAGAAACUUACGAUAUGGGACACCAGGUCCAGUACCACCUCCAAACUGAGUCACCUGAUUGAUGUGCACACUGCUGAGGUCAACUGCCUCAAGUUAAAUCCCUAUGAUGAGUUCAUUCUAGCGACUGGCUCUGGAGAUAAGACCAUAGCUUUAUGGGAUCUGCGUAACUUGAUGUUAAAACUCCAUGCCUUUGAAUUUCAUAAAGAUGAAGUUUUCCAGGUCCACUGGUCUCCCACAUAAUGAAGCUAUUCAAGUGGUAUUGAUUGCCACCUGAAUGUGUGGGAUUAAGUAAAAUUGGAGAAGAACAGUGAGCAGAAGAUGGGCCUCCAGAACUCCUAUUUAUUCAUCGAGGACACACUGCCAAGAUUUCAGAUUUUAGUUGUAACCCCAGUGAGCCUUGGGUCAUUUGCUCAGUGUCUGAGGAUAACAUCAUGCAGCUAUGGCAAAUGGCUGAAAAUAUUUACAGUGAUGAAGAGUCAGAUGUCACAAUAUUGGAACUGGAGGGACAAGGAUCCUAAACCCAAAGUACAAAAGAUGUUUCUGUUCAACGUAAUGCUACAUGAAUGCGUGAUUUCUCAAAUGCUAAAAAGGCAUUGUAGAGUAGGAAAUGUAAAUGGUAUGGUAUGGUGUUCUUUAUGGUCUGAUUCUAGCACUUUCAAGUGAGCUGUUGAGUACUGUAUCAUAUUGUAGCUAUCAGGGAAGAAAAGAAUGUUGCUUAAGAAAGAACAUCACCAUUGUUUUAAAAUGAGUAGCAGGUUACUGCCUUUGAUUCAACUAUUUUAAGUCCUCAUUUUCUCAAACUAAUUGUUUGCUGUUCCCAAAUAUGCAAGAAUAACUUUUACACUUUUUCCUUCCAACACAUCUUGAUUGGCUUUGCAGAAAUAAAGUCUUAAAAAAAAAAAGUCCU